rnacentral:rRNA from 1 species
GGGUAACGGGGUGUUAGGGCACGACACCGGAGAGGGAGCCUGAGAAACGGCUACCACAUCCAAGGAUGGCAGCAGGCGCGCAAAUUACCCAAUCCCGACACGGGGAGGUAGUGACAAUAAAUAACAAUACGGGGUUCUUUCGGAUCUCGUAAUUGGAAUGAGUACAAUUUAAAUCUCUUAACGAGGAACAAUUGGAGGGCAAGUCUGGUGCCAGCAGCCGCGGUAAUUCCAGCUCCAAUAGCGUAUAUUAAAGUUGUUGCAGUUAAAAAGCUCGUAGUUGAAUUUCGGGAUCAAAUUGUCGGUCGUGCCUCGGUACGUACUGGCGUUAUUGGUUCCUCCCUUCUGAAGAACCGCGAUGUCAUUAAUUUGGUGUCGCGGGGAAUCAGGACUGUUACUUUGAAAAAAUUAGAGUGUUUAAAGCAGGCUCGCGCUUGAAUACAUUANCAUGGAAUAAUGAAAUAGGACGUUUGAUUCUAUUUUGUUGGUUUCUAGGAUCGACGUAAUGAUUAAUAGGGAUAGUUGGGGGCAUUANUAUUCAAUUGUCAGAGGUGAAAUUCUUGGAUUUAUUGAAGACUAACUACUGCGAAAGCAUUUGCCAAGGAUGUUUUCAUCAAUCAGAACGAAAGUUAGGGGAUCGAAGACGAUCAGAUACC